UGAUACCAGGGUCAAAAGGUCGUGCGUUUCAUGCUUGCAUGAAAAAGCAUGACUUUGGGGCCCGAAAAACAUGAGAAAGUAGCCCGAGCAGAGCGGAUUUCGAAUGUUUUUAGGAUUGCGGGAGCACAAAGUGCGGAGCAAUCCGUAGGCAUCA
rnacentral:sRNA from 1 species